GCGUCGCCCGCCGGACGAACCUUCUGAACUUUUCUCAAGGUUGACCUCGGAUCAGGUAGGGAUACCCGCUGAACUUAA
rnacentral:rRNA from 1 species